rnacentral:rRNA from 1 species
AGAGUUUGAUCCUGGCUCAGGACGAACGCUGGCGGCGUGCCUAAUACAUGCAAGUCGAGCGAGCUUGCCUAGAUGAUUUUAGUGCUUGCACUAAAUGAAACUAGAUACAAGCUAGCGGCGGACGGGUGAGUAACACGUGGGUAACCUGCCCAAGAGACUGGGAUAACACCUGGAAACAGAUGCUAAUACCGGAUAACAACACUAGACGCAUGUCUAGAGUUUAAAAGAUGGUUCUGCUAUCACUCUUGGAUGGACCUGCGGUGCAUUAGCUAGUUGGUAAGGUAACGGCUUACCAAGGCAAUGAUGCAUAGCCGAGUUGAGAGACUGAUCGGCCACAUUGGGACUGAGACACGGCCCAAACUCCUACGGGAGGCAGCAGUAGGGAAUCUUCCACAAUGGACGCAAGUCUGAUGGAGCAACGCCGCGUGAGUGAAGAAGGGUUUCGGCUCGUAAAGCUCUGUUGGUAGUGAAGAAAGAUAGAGGUAGUAACUGGCCUUUAUUUGACGGUAAUUACCUAGAAAGUCACGGCUAACUACGUGCCAGCAGCCGCGGUAAUACGUAGGUGGCAAGCGUUGUCCGGAUUUAUUGGGCGUAAAGCGAGUGCAGGCGGUUCAAUAAGUCU